UACAGAGGGUGCGAGCGUUAAUCGGAAUUACUGGGCGUAAAGCGCGCGUAGGCGGCUUUUCAAGUCGAUUGUGAAAUCCCCGGGCUUAACCUGGGAACUGCAGUCGAGACUGUCUAGCUAGAGUAUGGGAGAGGGAAGUGGAAUUUCAGGUGUAGCGGUGAAAUGCGUAGAUAUCAGGAAGAAUAUCCGUGGCGAAGGCGGCUCUCUGGUACGGCACUGACGCUGAGACGCGAAAGCGUGGGGAGCGAACAGG
rnacentral:rRNA from 1 species